UAGAUUGGAUGCCCUGAAGACAGACUUUGUU
rnacentral:piRNA from 1 species